rnacentral:rRNA from 1 species
GAUGAACGCUGGCGGUAUGCUUUACACAUGCAAGUCAUACGGAAAUUAGUUUCGGCUAAUUUCAGUGGCGGACGGGUGAGUAACACGUGAGAAUUCGCCUUUAGGAGGGGGAUAACAGGGGGAAACACCUGCUAAAACCCCAUAUGCCUUCGGGUCAAAAGAGUAAUCUGCCUAAAGAGAAGCUCGCGGCUGAUUAGCUAGUUGGUAGGGUAAAGGCCUACCAAGGCGACGAUCAGUAGCUGGUCUGAGAGGAUGAUCAGCCACAUUGGAACUGAGACACGGUCCAGACUCCUACGGGUGGCUG